GACGAACGCUGGCGGCGUGCUUAACACAUGCAAGUCGAACGGUAAGGCCCUUCGGGGUACACGAGUGGCGAACGGGUGAGUAACACGUGGGUGAUCUGCCCUGCACUUCGGGAUAAGCCUGGGAAACUGGGUCUAAUACCGGAUAGGACCACUGCCUGCAUGGGUGGUGGUGGAAAGCUUUUGCGGGGUGGGAUGGGCCCGCGGCCUAUCAGCUUGUUGGUGGGGUGAUGGCCUACCAAGGCGACGACGGGUAGCCGGCCUGUGAGGGUGACCGGCCACACUGGGACUGAGAUACGGCCCAGACUCCUACGGGAGGCAGCAGUGGUGAAUAUUGCACAAUGGGCGCAAGCCUGAUGCAGCGACGCCGCGUGAGGGAUGACGGCCGUCGGGUUGUAAACCUCUUUCAGCACCGACGAAGCGCAAGUGACGGUAGGUGCAGAAGAAGGACCGGCCAACUACGUGCCAGCCGCCGCGGUAA
rnacentral:rRNA from 1 species